GCAGUGUUGGUUCAUUGGUAGAAUUCUCUCCUUCCAUGUGAGAGACUCAGGUUCAAUUCCCAGCAAUGCA
rnacentral:tRNA from 1 species